rnacentral:misc_RNA from 1 species
AAGUCGUAACAAGGUUUCCGUAGGUGAACCUGCGGAAGGAUCAUUAUUGAAGUUGCUGAGGGGUUGUUGCUGGCUCUCCGGAGUAUUGUGCACGCCCUUCUCACUCUACCUUCAUCCACCUGUGCACACACUGUAGAUCUCGGAUAACUCUCGGCUGGAUUUAUCUGGCCGGCUAGGACAUGCUGCUCCUCACAGGGGCUUCAGUCCAAUUUCCGGGUUUCUAUGUCCUUCUCACAUACUCUAAGUAAUGUCAUAGAAUGUAUCAUGGGUCAUUACGACCUUUAAAAUUAUAAUACAACUUUCAACAACGGAUCUCUUGGCUCUC